UGGACUCCUCGCUCAGCACAUCCGGGAUGCCCAGGAGCAGGACGGUCCUGGGGCAGCGGGAAGGCUGCAGCUGGGCAGAGCAGGGGGUUAGAGAUGUCUCCACUCAUGCAUGGUGAUAUUUUGAUUGUGUAUUUCCCUUUCCCGAUGGGCACCUGGAUAUGUCCUCUUUCAAUUAGCGGCUCUGCCACUGCAUAUGGAGAGGAAAGGCCUGAGCUGCCCAGCUCCCAGCUUCAUCUGCUCUCAGGAGAUUUCCCCCAGAGCAGGUCAGGCUGCUUCACCCUUGCCAGCCACCCAAGCUCAGCACACCCUCCGCACCUCCAUCCUGUGUGAAGGUCAGCACCACCUGACAGCACCUGGAGGAGACCGGACCCUGCACAGGGCAUGUCCCUGCCAAUCCACGGAUUAGAAAUAAACUCAUGGCUCAAAUUAACAGCUGGAGAACCUCA